GAUGAACGCUAGCGAUAGGCCUAACACAUGCAAGUCGAGGGGCAUCACAUGAAGUAGCAAUACGGAUGGUGGCGACCGGCGCACGGGUGAGUAACACGUAUGCAACCUGCCUUCAACAAGGGGAUAACCCGUUGAAAGACGGACUAAUACCCUAUAACACAGGGGUCCCGCAUGGGAAUAUUUGUUAAAGGACAACCGGUUGAAGAUGGGCAUGCGUUCCAUUAGCUAGUUGGCGGGGUAACGGCCCACCAAGGCAACGAUGGAUAGGGGAACUGAGAGGUUUAUCCCCCACACUGGUACUGAGACACGGACCAGACUCCUACGGGAGGCAGCAGUGAGGAAUAUUGGUCAAUGGACGCAAGUCUGAACCAGCCACGUCGCGUGAAGGAAGACGGCCCUACGGGUUGUAAACUUCUUUUAUACGGGGAAUAAAGUGCCCCCACGCGUGGGGUUUUGCAUGUACCGUAUGAAUAAGGAUCGGCUAACUCCGUGCCAGCAGCCGCGGUAAAUACG
rnacentral:rRNA from 1 species